rnacentral:rRNA from 1 species
ACGCUGAAGAGAGGAGCUUGCUCUUCUUGGAUGAGUUGCGAACGGGUGAGUAACUCGUAGGUAACCUGCCUUGUAGCGGGGGAUAACUAUUGGAAACGAUAGCUAAUACCGCAUAACAAUGGAUGACACAUGUCAUUUAUUUGAAAGGGGCAAUUGCUCCACUACAAGAUGGACCUGCGUUGUAUUAGCUAGUAGGUGAGGUAAUGGCUCACCUAGGCGACGAUACAUAGCCGACCCGAGAGGGUGAUCGGCCACACUGGGACUGAGACACGGCCCAGACUCCUACGGGAGGCAGCAGUAGGGAAUCUUCGGCAAUGGGGGCAACCCUGACCGAGCAACGCCGCGUGAGUGAAGAAGGUUUUCGGAUCGUAAAGCUCUGUUGUAAGUCAAGAACGGGUGUGAGAGUGGAAAGUUCACACUGUGACGGUAGCUUACCAGAAAGGGACGGCUAACUACGUGCCAGCAGCCGCGGUAAUACGUAGGUCCCGAGCGUUGUCCGGAUUUAUUGGGCGUAAAGCGAGCGCAGGCGGUUUGAUAAGUCUGAAGUUAAAGGCUGUGGCUCAACCAUAGUUCGCUUUGGAAACUGUCAAACUUGAGUGCAGAAGGGGAGAGUGGAAUUCCAUGUGUAGCGGUGAAAUGCGUAGAUAUAUGGAGGAACACCGGUGGCGAAAGCGGCUCUCUGGUCUGUAACUGACGCUGAGGCUCGAAAGCGUGGGGAGCGAACAGGAUUAGAUACCCUGGUAGUCCACGCCGUAAACGAUGAGUGCUAGGUGUUGGAUCCUUUCC